AUGGCGCAUCUGUACGAGCGCAGGGAGUUCCCGUACCCGGGCGACGAGGAGGCGGUGGAGGAGUUCAUAAAGAGCGGGGGCGCCCUGGGCACGACGAUCGGGCCCAAGGGGUUCGCGGACGCCAACAUGGACUCGGACAACAUGCAGAAGCAGCUGCAGUCCAAGAAGUUUGACCAGGAGGCGCGGAAGCUGUGGUUCCGGAUGCGGAACGAGGUGGUGCAGGAGCUCCAGGAGAAGGGGUUCGACGUCGAAUGA
rnacentral:rRNA from 1 species